UCGCCUGUUUAUUCAAAAACAUCGCCAGUAAAUAACUACCGGUAGAAUCUGCCCAGUGAUUUUAACGGCCGCAGUAUCCUAACUGUGCUAAGGUAGCAUAAUCAUUUGUCCUCUAAUUAAGAACUCGUAUGAAAGAUCUGACGAAAGACCUCCUAUUUCAGUAGUACUUUAAACUUAGAAAAGGGGUUAAAAUCCCCCUUUCGCUCAGAAGGACGACAAGACCCUAUAAAACUUUACUUUAAUCUUAUCCUUUAACUCAGAGUUAACCUAAUUUAUUAAAAGUUAUACUGGGGCGGUAAAUAAACUAAUCUCUUUAUUUUUUCAAACAAAUUUAUUGACUUUUUCAACCAUAAUUUUAAAAUCGAGAACAAGUUACUUUAGGGAUAACAGCGUAAUAAUUCUAUAGAGCACCUAUCGACAGAAAAGUUUACGACCUCGAUGUUGAAUUGAAGACCCUUUAUGAAGCAGCAUUCAUUUAAGGAGGUCUGUUCGACCUUUAAUCCUUCACAUGAUCUGAGUU
rnacentral:rRNA from 1 species